rnacentral:rRNA from 1 species
UACGUAGGGGGCAAGCGUUGGUCCGGAUUUAUUGGGCGUAAAGAGCAGUGUAGGCGGUCAGGUAGGUCCGUUGUGAAAACUCGAGGCUCAACCUCGAGACGCCGAUGGAAACCAUCUGACUAGAGUCCGGAAGAGGAGAGUGGAAUUCCGUGGUGUAGCGGUGAAAUGCGCAGAUAUCAGGAGGAACACCGGUGGUGUAGACGGCUUUCUGGACGUAACUGACGCUGAGGAGCGAAAGCGUGGGGAGCAAACAGGA